AUGGGCGACCAGCAAUUUAUCAUCGGCACCCCCAUGAGCGAGAUGCUCGCCGGCAUGGAGCUAGACGGCAAGGACCCUGCGACGCUCGAACUCGGUUCAAACUAUGUGCUCCACUUCCUGUACGGCUACCUCCCGGCCCCGCCCGUCUCCCCCACCGCCACCCGCUCGCUCUCCGGCGUGCCGCGGGUCCCCGACGGCGUCGACCGCAUCAGCCGCCUCCCCCAUGCGGUCCUCGUCGAAAUCCUCUCCCGCCUCCCUGCCAAGGACGCCGCGCGCACCGCCGCCCUCGCCUCGCGCUGGCGCCCCCUCUGGCGCAUGGCGCCACUCUCCCUUGUCGACAGCCACCUGCUUCCGGACGGCGGCGCGGCCGGGCAGUUUCCCAUCGGCGUUCCCUCUCCCCGUGCCGUCACCGCCGCGGUGUCCCUCAUCCUCGAGGCGCAUCCGGGGCCCUUCCGCUGCGUCCACCUCACCCGCAGCACCAUGGAGGAGCAUCGGGGCGAGAUAUCGCGCUGGCUCGACAUCCUCGUCGCCAAGGGGGUCCAAGAACUCGUCUUUGUCAACCGCCCUUGGCCAAUGGACCUGCGCCUCCCCGCCACGAUCUUCAGCUGCUCCACCCUCACCCGCCUCUACCUCGGCGUCUGGAGGCUCCCGGACACCGCCGCCGUGCCGCGCGGCGCCAGAUUCCCCAACCUCAAGGAGCUCGGCCUAUGCAUGACUGUCAUGGAGGACCGUGAUCUGGCAUUCAUGCUUGAAAGAAGCCCCGUCCUGGAGUUCCUCGUAAUCAUGGGGAGCCAGACCGGAGUGCGCCUCCGCCUCGUCAGCCAGAGACUGCGCUGCGUUCAGCUUGGCCAUGCCUUAUUGGAGUACAUCGACGUGGCGGAUGCCCCUAGCCUGGAGAGGCUCUUCCUUUCGGAAAUUGUCCCCCCUGGCAAGCUCAGGUCCUUCAGGAAGAGGAACAACGACAACGGCUCUUCCAUGAUCAAGAUUGGGCGUGCACCUAACCUCCGUGUGCUGGGAUACAUUCAGCCAGGACAGCAAGAGUUGGGGAUUAUCAACACCGACGUCGUGGCAGGUAGCAAGGAGAAGAUUGUCCCUAGUGUCAAGAUUUUGGCCAUGGAGGUGCAGUUCGGUGACCGCAAUGCUGUCAAGAAAGUGCCCGGCUUUCUCCGAUAUUUCCCCAACCUGGAGACGCUCCAUGUCUAUUCCCCUACCAUAUCUGAAGAAUCCACUAGCAAGGUCAGUCCCAAGUUCUGGCAGGAGGGCGGUCCCAUCAAAUGUGUGGUGCAGAGCAUGAAGAAGGUGUUCAUCUACGAGUUCCAUGGGUCGAGAAGCGAGGUUGCUUUCCUCAAGUUCAUCGCAGAGACCGGUCGGGUGCUGGAGCAUAUGGUGCUUUUGGUGGCCAACGAAUGUUUCUCCUCUGGCGAUGAUAAUGUGAGGGCCAAGCUGAAGCCUCUGGCGAGCGUGAAAUGGAACAACCAGGCUUGCAAAGUACAGCUCUUCAAGAGCCGGCGCACUAACCCUGGAGGUCCUGUUUACAGCAACAAGAUAGCUUCUGACUUUGGGUUUGCUGACCCUUUUGACCUCCUCGGGCACUACUAG
rnacentral:rRNA from 1 species